rnacentral:rRNA from 1 species
CGCCUGGUUGAUUAAAAACAUUGCUGCGUGAAAAGACGCUUGGUAAGCACUGCCCGGUGCCUGAUGAGGUUAACGGUGGUCUUUUAGAUUUUAAUGUAGCGUAAUACCUUGCCCUUUAAUUGUGGGCUUGCAUGAAGUGUUUACGAGGGAGUUACUGUCUCUUUUUAAUACUGAGAAAUCGAAUUGUAAAUGAAAUUGUUUACAUGGGGGUAAAAGACGAUAAGACCCCGUGCAGCUUUACACUAUUGGUCAAAGAUGAUUGAAAUGUUGUUUGGUUGGGGCAAUAGGGGAAUAGAAAAAACUUCCUUGGGAUAAUAGCUCCGGUAGUUGGGGUUUAUAAACUGGCAGGUGACGAUCUGAUUUGAUAGAUAAGCGGAGAAGCUACGCCGGGGAUAACAGCGCAAUCUUUAAUUGGAGGUCUUAUCUAAUUAAGGGCUUGCGACCUCGAUGUUGAAUUAGCGGGAAUCUUUAGGCGAAGAGGCUUAGGGGUAGGACUGUUCGUCCUCUAAGGCGCUACGUGAUCUGAGUUCAAACCGG